rnacentral:rRNA from 1 species
CCGAAGGGGCAUGCCUGUUUGAGUAUCAUGAACACCUCAACUCUCACGGCUUGCAUGAUGAGCUUGGACUUUGGGGGUCUUGUUGGCCUGUGAGCCAGCUCCUCUUAAAUGAAUCAGCUUGCCAGUGUCUGAUGGCAUCGUGAGUGUGAUAACUAUCUACGCUUGUGGUCGUCUGCCAGGUAACCUCAGCGAUGGAGGUUCGCUGGGGCUUAUAAAUGUCUCUCCUCAGUGAAGACAGCUUUUUUGAACGUUCGAUCUCAAAUCAGGUAGGACUACCCGCUGAACUUAAGCAUAUCAAUAAGCGGAGG